UAAUACGGAGGGGACUAGCGUUGUUCGGAAUUACUGGGCGUAAAGCGCGCGUAGGCGGAUUUGCAAGUCGGGGGUGAAAGCCCGAGGCUCAACCUCGGAACUGCCCUCGAUACUGCAAAUCUCGAGUCCGAGAGAGGUGAGUGGAAUUCCUAGUGUAGAGGUGAAAUUCGUAGAUAUUAGGAAGAACACCAGUGGCGAAGGCGGCUCACUGGCUCGGUACUGACGCUGAGGCGCGAAAGCGUGGGGAGCAAACAGGAUUAGAUACCCUGGUAGUCCACGCCGUAAACUAUGGGUGCUAGCCGUCGGGGAGCUUGCUCUUCGGUGGCGCAGCAAACGCAUUAAGCACCCCGCCUGGGGAGUACGGUCGCAAGAUUA
rnacentral:rRNA from 1 species